UGCGAUUUUUUUAAAAUUUUU
rnacentral:piRNA from 1 species